rnacentral:rRNA from 1 species
AGCGAAUAGAUACCCGGGUAGUCCGCACCGUAAACGAUGAUCACUUGGUGUUGGAGGUAUUGACCCCUUAGUGCCGAAAGCUAAACGCGUUAAGUGCUCCGCCUGGGAAGUACGGUCGCAAGAUUAAAAACUCAAAGAAAUUGACGGGGGCCCGCACAAGCAGUGGAGCAUGUGGUUCAAUUCGAUGCAACGCGAAAAACCUUACCUGGGUUUGAAGUGCUAGUGAAUGUGGUAGAGAUAUCACAGGCCUUCGGGACACUAGUAUCAGGUGCUGCAUGGCUGUCGUCAGCUCGUGUCGUGAGAUGUCGGGUUAAG